rnacentral:lncRNA from 1 species
CCGAGAUGCGAUCCAGAGUCUGCACCCGAAGCUCGACCUGAGCAGCGUCGUCCCUCCAGGGUCGGAGGACCAAGCCAUAGAGGGGGAUUUCGAUGCCCUGCCGGAGGAUCCGACAGCUGCAGAGGAGGCCGACCCUGGGCCGGUGGAGGUGGCUCCGACCUCUGGUCCCACUCCGACCCGAGCGGGCACACUGGUUGCUCCCGAACUAUCCC